rnacentral:rRNA from 1 species
AUUGAACGCUGGCGGCAGGCCUAACACAUGCAAGUCGAACGAGUGGCGGACGGGUGAGUAAUGUCUGGGAAAAUGCCUGAUGGAGGGGGAUAACUACUGGAAACGGUAGCUAAUACCGCAUACCAUCGGAUGUGCCCAGUUGGGAUUAGCUAGUGGGUGGGGUAACGGCUCACCUAGGCGACGAUCCCUAGCGGGUCUGAGAGGAUGAACGACCACCAUGGAACUUAUACACGGUCCAGACUCCUACGGGAGGCAGCAGUGGGGAAUAUUGCACAAUGGGCGCAAGCCUGAUGCAGCCAUGCCGCGGGUAUGAAGAAGGCCUUCGGGUUGUAAAGUACUUUCAGCGGGGAGGCGUUACCCGCAGAAGAAGCACCGGCUAACUCCGUGCCAGCAGCCGCGGUAAUAC